rnacentral:rRNA from 1 species
GGGUUCUACCGUUGGUCGGGCUUUGUCUGUACUGAUGUGUAGAAUUUCUACCUUCUGGGGAACCAUCAUGUUAUUAAUUUAGCGUGGUGGGAAACCAGGACCUUUACCUUGAAAAAAUUAGAGUGUUCAAAGCAGGCUUAUGUCUGAAUACAUUAGCAUGGAAUAAUGAAAUAGGACGUUCGAUCCUAUUUUGUUGGUUUCUAGGAUUGACGUA